GGGGAUGCCCAGAAGGAUCCAGGAGUCCUUGAGGCUGCUGAUGCCAGCCACAUCUCCACACCCCCAGCUCGGCCCCCGGCCAUCCGGGAGAUGGGCUCCAAAGGGGCCAGGCCCAGUGACGAGGGCAGCCCAGACGCCCGGCCUCAGAUCUAGAGCCUUAGCCCGGGCCUCCCAGGGGCCCGCCAGAGCGUCCGAAUCCGCACCCGGCUCGCGCUGCUGCAGAGACACCCGGGAGCUGCAGGGACACAUUGCCAGGAAGGGCUUGGAAAUCAGACUGGGCGCACUGCCUGCCGUGCUGAGGAGCUCUCAGAAAAUGGCUACCCUGGGGCGCAGAGACCUGCUCCUGCCUAAACUGAUCCCCCCAGGCCACAAGGCUCCCCUGGCCCGUCACCGGCUCUGCCCCCUGCUCAGCUGCAAGGCAGGCAGCGUGGAGCUUGACGUGAGGCACAAACACAUCCAGUACUUCAGGGCUCUCCCCACCCUGUACGCGGAGUCCCUGGCCAAGAUGGUGCCCAGCCCGCCCAUGCCACACGCCCCCCUGCUGCCCCACGGCACGGCCAUCGAGUUCUGCCCCCUGGAGACUCCCUACGUGGCCCCCGAGGGCCGGGAGCUGCUGGAGAGGCAUGUCCUGAGGAAGCGGCUGCAGCACGAAUGGGGCCUGCCGGGCCUGGUGCGGCGAUCGCUGCGGUGUUUCAUGCCACCCCCGCCCACGCGCCCCAGGGCCAAGGGGAGAGUCCGGCCGGCAGCCAUGGAGCUCCGUGUCAGCAGCGGGGCCCCUCCCAUCCCUCUGGCCACCAAGAGGGAGCUGGAAGCCCACAUCCGGCGGAGGGCGGCCGAGAGGAGGUGGGGGCUCCCCAGGAGGGUGCGGGAGUCCCUGCGGGGCUUCAUGCCCCCCACGACCGCAGCUCCGGGGACACAUCCAGACACGCGAGGCAGAAGGGCCAGCCGGCCUCUCAGGGGGCUGUCAGCGAGAAGGGCUCCAAGGGAAUCACCCUCCAGGGGGGCAC
rnacentral:lncRNA from 1 species